CAAUAGCGUAUAUUAAAGUUGUUGUAGUUAAAAAGCUCGUAGUUGGAUUUCUGGUCGGAAGCUCCUGUCCUCUGAUGAGCGUACAAGUGCGUCCUACCAUCCUUCUGUUAACCUUUAAGGCUUUCGCGGCUUUCUAGGGGCUCAGAUAUUUUACCUUGAGAAAAUUAGAGUGUUUCAGGCAGGCUAGCGCCGGAAUACAUUAGCAUGGAAUAAUGGAAUAGGACUUUUGCCUCUUCUGUUGGUCAUGAGGCUCGAGUAAUGAUUAAUAGGGAUAGUUGGGGGCAUUAGUACUUAACUGUCAGAGGUGAAAUUCUCGGAUUUGUUAAAGACUAACUUAUGCGAAAGCAUUUGCCAAGGAUGUUUUCAUUAA
rnacentral:rRNA from 1 species